GUUACCAACCAGAUUUUCCCAGUGUGGACAUACUCCUACCUCGCUCUCCUUUUCCCAGUCUUUCUGAUCACAGACUACCUGCGCUACAAGCCCAUCCUCCUCCUCCAGGGCAUCAGCUUCAUCACCACCUGGCUCCUGCUGCUCUUUGCACAGGGGGUGCUGGCCAUGCAGAUGGUGGAAUUCUUCUACGGGAUGGCGACAGCCACCGAGGUCGCCUAUUACGCCUACAUCUACAGCGUUGUCAGCACCGAUCGCUAUCAGAGAGUGACCAGCUACUGCAGAAGCAUCACCCUGGCUGCAGCCACCCUUGCUGCCGUGCUGGGGCAGCUGCUGGUUUCCUUAGCAGAUGUAUCCUACUUUCACCUCAAUGCCAUCACUUUGGCUUCCGUGUCCCUGGCAUUUGUGACUUCCUUUUUCCUCCCAAUGCCCCAGAAGAGCAUGUUCUUCCACAGGAAAGACAUCCCGGUAGCUCUGCCAGGACCAGAUCAAGUCGUGGCUGCAGUUGGCUCCCACAGGCCCUCGAGCUGCCCAGAGGACAAGGGCUCUGGAUCUGCUGGCAGGGAACCCACACCUGAACAGCAGGCAGGUCGUGUCCAGCCCCAGAAUGGUGUGCUCAGAGUGCUGGUGCAGCUGAGCCAGGACCUGAGGGACUGCUACAGCUCCAGGAAACUUCUCUACUGGUCCCUCUGGUGGGCUCUGGCUACAGCAGGCUUUAACCAGGUUCUGAACUAUAUCCAAGUACUGUGGGACUUCAGAGCCCCCUCUCACAGCUCUGCAGUGUACAAUGGAGCUGUUGAAGCAAUAGCAACUUUUUUAG